GAUGAACGCUGGCGGCGUGCCUAAUACAUGCAAGUCGAGCGAACAGACGAGGAGCUUGCCCCUCUGACGUUAGCGGCGGACGGGUGAGUAACACGUGGAUAACCUACCUAUAAGACUGGGAUAACUUCGGGAAACCGGAGCUAAUACCGGAUAAUAUAUUGAACCGCAUGGUUCAAUAGUGAAAGACGGUUUUGCUGUCACUUAUAGAUGGAUCCGCGCCGCAUUAGCUAGUUGGUAAGGUAACGGCUUACCAAGGCAACGAUGCGUAGCCGACCUGAGAGGGUGAUCGGCCACACUGGAACUGAGACACGGUCCAGACUCCUACGGGAGGCAGCAGUAGGGAAUCUUCCGCAAUGGGCGAAAGCCUGACGGAGCAACGCCGCGUGAAUGAUGAAGGUCUUCGGAUCGUAAAACUCUGUUAUUAGGGAAGAACAAAUGUGUAAGUAACUAUGCACGUCUUGACGGUACCUAAUCAGAAAGCCACGGCUAACUACGUG
rnacentral:rRNA from 1 species